GACGAACGCUGGCGGCGUGCUUUAUACAUGCAAGUCGAACGAUGAAGUUCCUUCGGGAAUGGAUUAGUGGCGAACGGGGGAGGAACACGUGAGAAACCUGCCUUUCAUUCUGGGAUAACAACGGGAAACCGGUGCUAAUACCGGAUACUCCGUCUUGGCGGCAUCGCCAAGCCGGGAGAAAAAUUUGAUGAAAGAUGGUCUCGCCACCUAGCAGCUAGUUGGUGAUGUAAAGGCUCACCAAGGCGACGACGGGUAGCCGGCCAGAGAGGGCGACCGGCCACACUGGGACUGAGACACGGCCCAGACUCCUACGGGAGGCAGCAGUAGGGAAUAUUGGGCAAUGGGCGCAAGCCUGACCCAGCGCCGCCGCGUGAGGGAUGAAGGUCUUCGGAAUGUAAACCUCUUUCAGUAGGGAAGAAGCGAAAGUGACGGUACCUAAAGAAGAAGCACCGGCUAACUAUGUGCCAGCCGCCGCAGUAA
rnacentral:rRNA from 1 species